CCUGGCGGCACUAGCGCGGUGGUCCCACCUGACCCCAUGCCGAACUCAGAAGUGAAACGCCGUAGCGCCGAUGGUAGUGUGGUCUCCCCAUGUGAGUAGGGAACUGCCAGGC
rnacentral:rRNA from 1 species